rnacentral:rRNA from 1 species
GCUGGCGGCAGGCUUACACAUGCAAGUCGAGCGCCCCGCAAGGGGAGCGGCAGACGUCUGAGUAACGCGUGGGAAUCUACCUAGCUCUACGGAAUAGCUCCGGGAAACUGGAAUUAAUACCGUAUACGUCCUUCGGGAGAAAGAUUUAUCGGAGUUGGAUGAGCCCGCGUUGGAUUAGCUAGUUGGUGGGGUAAUGGCCUACCAAGGCGACGAUCCAUAGCUGGUCUGAGAGGAUGAUCAGCCACACUGGGACUGAGACACGGCCCAGACUCCUACGGGAGGCAGCAGUGGGGAAUAUUGGACAAUGGGCGAAAGCCUGAUCCAGCCAUGCCGCGUGAGUGAUGAAGGCCCUAGGGUUGUAAAGCUCUUUCAACGGUGAAGAUAAUGACGGUAACCGUAGAAGAAGCCCCGGCUAACUUCGUGCCAGCAGCCGCGGUAAUACGAAGGGGGCUAGCGUUGUUCGGAAUUACUGGGCGUAAAGCGCACGUAGGCGGAUACUUAAGUCAGGGGUGAAAUCCCGGGGCUCAACCCCGGGAACUGCCCUUUGAUACUGGGGUAUCUCGAGUCCCGCAGAAGUGAGUGGAAUUCCCGAGUGGUACAGGUGAAAUUCGUAAAUAUUCCGAAGAACACCAGUGGCGAA